rnacentral:rRNA from 1 species
CUUGCUUCUCUUGAGAGCGGCGGACGGGUGAGUAAUGCCUAGGAAUCUGCCUGGUAGUGGGGGAUAACGUCCGGAAACGGACGCUAAUACCGCAUACGUCCUACGGGAGAAAGCAGGGGACCUUCGGGCCUUGCGCUAUCAGAUGAGCCUAGGUCGGAUUAGCUAGUUGGUGGGGUAAUGGCUCACCAAGGCGACGAUCCGUAACUGGUCUGAGAGGAUGAUCAGUCACACUGGAACUGAGACACGGUCCAGACUCCUACGGGAGGCAGCAGUGGGGAAUAUUGGACAAUGGGCGAAAGCCUGAUCCAGCCAUGCCGCGUGUGUGAAGAAGGUCUUCGGAUUGUAAAGCACUUUAAGUUGGGAGGAAGGGCAGUAAAUUAAUACUUUGCUGUUUUGACGUUACCGACAGAAUAAGCACCGGCUAACUCUGUGCCAGCAGCCGCGGUAAUACAGAGGGUGCAAGCGUUAAUCGGAAUUACUGGGCGUAAAGCGCGCGUAGGUGGUUCGUUAAGUUGGAUGUGAAAUCCCCGGGCUCAACCUGGGAACUGCAUUCAAAACUGACGAGCUAGAGUAUGGUAGAGGGUGGUGGAAUUUCCUGUGUAGCGGUGAAAUGCGUAGAUAUAGGAAGGAACACCAGUGGCGAAGCGACCACCUGGACUGAUACUGACACUGAGUGCGAAAGCGUGGGG